rnacentral:rRNA from 1 species
UACCAGCACCCCGAGUGGUCGGGACGUUUAUUGGGCCUAAAGCGUCCGUAGGUGGCGUUUCAAGUCUGCUGUCAAAGCACAAGGCUUAACCUUGUAAAGGCAGUGGAAACUGAAAGAGCUAGAGUGCGGUAGGGGUAGAGGGAAUUCCCAGUGUAGCGGUGAAAUGCGUAGAGAUUGGGAAGAACACCGGUGGCGAAAGCGCUCUACUGGGCCUGCACUGACACUGAGGGACGAAAGCUAGGGGAGCGAAAGGG